rnacentral:rRNA from 1 species
CCCCUAGCGCCGAUGGUACUGCGUCUUAAGGCGUGGGAGAGUAGGUCGCUGCCCGGU